AAUCUAUCCUUGUGAACAUUGAUUGUGAUCUUAUCUAAUCUCUUCAGUAUCUGUCAGAGCCCCGGAGAUCAAUUCCGUUUUCUACAUAUCUUGAAAGAGACGGAGCAAACGAGGUUGAACAAUAUUCCAACAAGAGCAAACGCCUCUUGAAGGCCUUGCUUAGCAUGCGCAAAUCCUGAAAGGAUCACAGAUUGUACAAAUACUUGGAUGAAACUUUAAACAAACUGGAGGCGUGGCAGCCCGAGUUGAAUGUUGAUCCUACUAUUCAAAUUUUUUUUUUUUUUUUUAGCCCCAUUAUGCCGGUUAGCCUAUAGUUGCUGUGUUGCUAUUGCAACUGAAGCUACCUUUCCAAAAAUAAAUGGAUUAAAAGACUUAUAUCCAGUAUAAUCUUGUUUCUUCCGCUAAAUUCUCUCUAUCACAGGAGAGAUCAAUCACCUGUCUCACCCGUUAACCAGUAACAACUUUCGCUGCAUGUAUUCCCAAAGAAAUGGGACACGAAAUUGGGUCCACCUACUAUCAUGGGUAUACAUGGCAAUAUGGUGAGGAAUCUCACACUGACUAACCUGUGCAAUGUUACCAAGAAUCACCACCAAUAGUAAGGUAUUAUGAUCAAAAUAUCAGCCUUUGCUCAAAAUCCAAGAUCAAAAGUCGGCCAUUCAUCAGUUUCCCUUGUACUCUUGAGCUGCUCAUUGCUCUUCUUUUCAUCGUCAGUAGGAACAUAAGAGGUACAACCACUUGAAAACCCAGAAGCAAAAGCUUCAUCACACCCUUUAGUGUCAGCCUUUGUAUUGUCAAGAUGAGACUGGUCAGAGUUUCCAGUUACAGAGUCAUUGGCGAGUUGGCCACCACUAGAAAUAGAUAUUACUUUGGAAGGCAUAAGACUGGUAUAUUUCUCAAUAUCUGUAAAUUUACUUGAUCCUUCAUUAUCCUUAUUUUUGCUUGGCCCAUCUUUUGGCAAAGAUAUUAUGGGUAAUUGACAGUCUUUAGGACAAUCUACCUCUGAAUCUGAGAUGUGAAUCUCCUUAGCAGAGAAAACAGAUGCAGUCAUGUUGUUGUCAGUACAACCUACAACAACACUCUUCUGAGCUAGAGGCUUUUGGAGAAUAGACAAGAUUUGAUGGAUGUCACGUAAGGAUUUGUCUGUAGGAGCGAUAUUGCUUAUUUUUGACCCCUCUACAGCAAAGAUGCUUCUUGAAUCUACAUCCUCCCGUGGACAAGCAUUGCUUUGAAAUUUUCCUAUACUGGAGAUGUUAAAAUUUGAACCAGCAUCCUUCCUUGAACAAGCACUGUUUGUAGCUUCUUUGGGAGUAUAUGGAUCGCCAACUUCCACCAAAUAUUUUGGCAGUCCAAAUGUACUUCCCCUCCUCACUUCCUCUGAUAAACUGACAAGCUUAGUGCUCAGGAUGGCUUUAUCUUCAUUUAGUAAAGUAACCCGCAUUUUGUAAGCGUCACAAGCAAGCCUAAGGAUGCCACUGUGAUACUUCUUGGCCUUUUGAGUUAUCUGACUAGUGUAAAGAGCAUGCCACUCUUUUGCCGGAGAUUUGUGGUCAAGACAAUUCUGAUGUUCGUGCAUUACCCUUUCUUUGCCAAUAAGACUGAUAUUAUUCCCUUGAACAUUCAAAUCCAUAGGAAGUUGAUUUUCUUGUUCAGGUUCUCCAAUGUCGACCAAAUGAGCAUCAAAUACUACUGAUUCAUGAGAUCUUAUUAUCUCAUCUUUCUUGAGGAACCUACUAUCUAAAAGUUUCCUGCUUGCAUCAUACAGCAUGAUCUGCCUCCCUAGGGAUCCACUUUUUGUAAGCCGCAAGAAACCAUCAUGAUACUUCUUGGCUUUUUGAGUCAAUUGCGUUGUGUACAUGACCUGCCAUUCUGUUACAUGAGCGUUUAGUGUAUCUGGAGAUUCUGGACAGCUCCGUAAUGCUCCAUAUCUCUGCAGUUCACUCUUUUUGAAUUCUCUGAUAAUUUUCUGCGAUGGGCUUAGGUUAUUCAACCGAGCUUUGCUCUUCUCUGCAGUAUCCUUGUCAUCUUCAGAAGAAAUUGAAGGACUUGUAAACUUGUGUCGAUGCAUCAAACUCGGCCUGGGCCUCUCGAGAAUUUUCCUUUCUUUCCCACGUAAUUUCAAAUCAGGGAUAGGCUUCUGAUCGACCUCGCCCUCAAGUUCCCCAACAUCGACAAAAUAACCAUUAAAUGUCAGUGUUUCACCAGCGCUCACAACUUCUUCGCCCUUCAAUAUCCUGCAUUCCAAUAGCUUCUCGCAUUCAUCAAAAAGCAUGACCUUGUUGGUUGAGAGGUGAAGAUCUAAGAAACCA
rnacentral:misc_RNA from 1 species